AAAUAGAUACCCAGGUAGUCCACGCCGUAAACGAUGAGUGCUAAGUGUUAGAGGGUUUCCGCCCUUUAGUGCUGAAGUUAACGCAUUAAGCACUCCGCCUGGGGAGUACGGCCGCAAGGCUGAAACUCAAAGGAAUUGACGGGGGCCCGCACAAGCGGUGGAGCAUGUGGUUUAAUUCGAAGCAACGCGAAGAACCUUACCAGGUCUUGACAUCCUCUGACAACCCUAGAGAUAGGGCUUCUCCUUCGGGAGCAAAGUGACAGGUGGUGCAUGGUUGUCGUCAGCUCGUGUCGUGAGAUGUUGGGUUAAGUCCCGCAACGAGCGCAACCCUUGAUCUUAGUUGCCAUCAUUAAGUUGGGCACUCUAAGGUGACUGCCGGUGACAAACCGGAGGAAGGUGGGGAUGACGUCAAAUCAUCAUGCCCCUUAUGACCUGGGCUACACACGUGCUACAAUGGACGGUACAAAGAGCUGCAAGACCGCGAGGUGGAGCUAAUCUCAUAAAACCGUUCUCAGUUCGGAUUGUAGGCUGCAAC
rnacentral:rRNA from 1 species